GCCCGCUUGGUGGAAUUGGUAGACACAUGAGACUUAAAAUCUCCCGGCCAUAGGCCGUGCCGGUUCGAGUCCGGCAGCGGGCA
rnacentral:tRNA from 1 species